rnacentral:rRNA from 1 species
AGAUUGAACGCUGGCGGCGUGCCUAACACAUGCAAGUCGAGCGGUAACAGGUGUAGCAAUACAUGCUGACGAGCGGCGAACGGGUGAGUAAUGCUUUGGAAUCUUCCCAGUAGUGGGGAAUAACCAGUCGAAAGAUUGGCUAAUACCGCAUACGUCUGUAAAGGGAAAGCGGGGGCUCGUAAGACCUCGCGCUAUUGGAUGAGCCAAAGUCGGAUUAGCUAGUUGGUGGGUAAUGGCCUACCAAGGCGACGACGGGUA